GACGAACGCUGGCGGCGUGCUUAACACAUGCAAGUCGAACGAAGUGGCGAACGGGUGAGUAACGCGUAAUCAACCUGCCCUUCAGAGGGGGACAACAGUUGGAAACGACUGCUAAUACCGCAUACUGAAGGAGGGGAUUGCGUCUGAUUAGCUAGUUGGAGGGGUAACGGCCCACCAAGGCGAUGAUCAAUCGGCGGUCCGGAAGGGUGGACGGCCAAAUUGGGAAUGGGGCACGGCCCAGAAUCCUACGGGAGGCAGCAAUGGGGAAACUUCCGCAAUGGGCGGAAAGCUGACGGAGCAACGGCGCGGGGGGGGUAGCGGCCUUCGGGUUGUAAAGCUCUGUUAAUCGGGGCGCGGUACCGAAAUAGAAAGCCACGGCUAACUACGUGCCAGCAGCCGCGGUAAUAC
rnacentral:rRNA from 1 species